CCCUUCUCAGGGUCGCACCUGGAGAGUUUCCAGUCCUCUACCAGUCUCGGCUAUGGGAGGGAGAGUCAAGCAAGGGUCUACCCAUUCCAUUCCUAGCCUGGGAAGUGGCUAGAGAGUGGAAAGCCAUCUGCUACAAGG
rnacentral:snoRNA from 1 species